ensembl:snoRNA U3 Small nucleolar RNA U3
AAGACUAUAUUUUCAGGGAUCAUUUCUAGAGUGCAUUACUAGAGAAGUUUCUGUGAACGUGUAGAGCACCGGAAACCAUGAGCAUGAGGUACAGUGUUCUCUCCUGAGCAUGAAGCCGGCUCUUGGUGUUGCUUCGCUGCAACUGCCAUUGGCCAUUGAUGAUCGUCUUCUCUUCUCUGGGAGAGUAAGAGAGAGAGGACACAGUUUGAGUGGU